rnacentral:rRNA from 1 species
AGGACGAACGCUGGCGGCGUGCUUAACACAUGCAAGUCGAGCGGAAAGGCUCCCUUCGGGGGAGUACUCGAGCGGCGAACGGGUGAGUAACACGUGGGCAACCAACCUCUCGUACCGGAAUACCCCGGGGAAACUCGGAUCAAUGCCGGAUAAAGUGCAGUGCUGCAGGGCGCUGUACCAAAGAUAGCUUCGGCCUUCGACGAGAGACGGGCCCGCGGCCCAUUAGCUUGUUGGUGGGGUAAUGGCCUACCGAAGGCGACGAUGGGUAGCUGGUCUGAGAGGAUGAUCAGCCACACUGGGACUGAGACACGGCCCAGACUCCUACGGGAGCAGCAGGUGGGGAAUCUUGCGCGAAGUGGGACGGAAAGCCGUGACGCAGACAACGCCGCGUGGCGGGAUGGAAGGCCGUUAAGGGUCCGUAAACCGCGUUUCGAGGGGGAA